rnacentral:lncRNA from 1 species
GGAUGAAGGAGGGUUUCAGAAAGGAAAUAACCGAGAUAAGUAAAAGUUAUAAAGAGUCAAUUUUGCCAGAAAAAAAAGGGUUUAUAAAAUGGGUACGAUUGCUUGGUGAGGUGAGGCCAGAGGGACAAAAUAAUGUGAACAUGACAAAAGGUAGGGAAAACCCAUGGAAGAUGGCUUAGUGGAGGUAUGAAUGGAUCCAUAUAUAUAUCAUUCACGGGGUUGAUGUAAGUUGACCUUUAUAGUAACUUGAAUGACAAAAAGGGUGGGUGCUAGUGUUGUUCAUUUUAAUGAUGAAAGUUUAUUUGUUUCAUAGUGGCAGUUGGUUUUGGUUUCCAUGUGGUGCUAGCUAGUUAUCGUAUGCAUGUCUCAACCCCCUGUAUCAUCACUCUCUGCAUUUUCC